GGGAGACAUCAUGUUCUGACAUCAGAUUGGAUCUAGUUCUUCGGGUUUUUUAAUAGCCAAUUAAGAUUGUAAACGGUAAGAGAUGGAAUAACACUUUCAGUUAGAAACUUUAUUCUCAUAAAAAAUGUAACAAUUUUUAAUAAAACCAUCUU